rnacentral:rRNA from 1 species
GAUGAACGCUAGCGGCAGGCCUAACACAUGCAAGUCGAGGGGUAACAGGGUAGCAAUAUCGCUGACGACCGGCGCACGGGUGAGUAACGCGUAUGUAACCUUCCUUUAACUGGGGCAUAGCCCGGAGAAAUUCGGAUUAAUACCCCAUAACAUUGCGAAGAGGCAUCUUUUUGCAAUUAAAGCUCCGGCGGUUAAAGAUGGGCAUGCGUGCCAUUAGCUUGUUGGUGAGGUAACGGCUCACCAAGGCUACGAUGGUUAGGGGGUCUGAGAGGAUGAUCCCCCAAACUGGUACUGAGACACGGACCAGACUCCUAAGGGAGGCAGCAGUGAGGAAUAUUGGGCAAUGGGCGCAAGCCUGACCCAGCCAUGCCGCGUGAAGGAUGAAUGCCCUAUGGGUUGUAAACUUCUUUUGUACGGGACGAAUCUCUCGAACGUGUUCGGGACUGACUGUACCGUACGAAUAAGCAUCGGCUAACUCCGUGCCAGCCGCCGCGGUAAAAC